UUGAAAAAUGUAAGUACAUAAAGACCUACUAAAUAUUCAUCAAUAAUGCCACAUCAAACAUUAACUAACCAGCGAGAUUGAAUAUGAAUUUUAGAAGUCCAGUAAAGAUUAGUUUCACUCCAAAAAUGUUGAUUGUGGUGAUUAACUUGGCCAUUAUUAUAAAAUUUAGCUUUGUCGGUCCAUAACAUAUUUGAAAGUAUUGCUGAAUCAUCAUCCAACUUAAUGAUCAUUUGAGCAACUAAAUUUAAUCGUCAUUCAGAAUAAUUGGCCAGUAAUUGUUGAACCUUUAUAUUUUUUUAAGG